rnacentral:SRP_RNA from 1 species
GCCGGGCGUGGUGGUGCCUGCCUGUAGUCCCAGCUACUCGGGAGGCCGAGGUGAGAGGAUCGCUUGAGCCAAGGAGUUCUGGGCUGUAGUGCGUUAUGCCGAUCGGGUGUCCGCACUAAGUUCGGCAUCAAUAUGGUGACCUCCAGGGAACGGGGAACCACCAGGUUGCCUAAGGAGGAGUCAGCCGGCCCAGGAUGGAAACGGAGCAGGUCAAAACUCCGGUGCUGAUCAGUAGUGGGAUCGUGCCUGUGAAUAGCCACUACACUCUAGCCUGGGCAACAUAGGGAGACCCUGUCUUA